CGGGAGGCAGCAGUAGGGAAUCUUCCACAAUGGACGAAAGUCUGAUGGAGCAAUGCCGCGUGAGUGAAGAAGGUUUUCGGAUCGUAAAACUCUGUUGUGAGGGAAGAACAAGUACGAGAGUAACUGCUCGUACCUUGACGGUACCUCAUUAGAAAGCCACGGCUAACUACGUGCCAGCAGCCGCGGUAAUACGUAGGUGGCAAGCGUUGUCCGGAAUUAUUGGGCGUAAAGCGCGCGCAGGCGGUCCUUUAAGUCUGAUGUGAAAUCCCACGGCUCAACCGUGGAAGGUCAUUGGAAACUGGGGGACUUGAGUACAGAAGAGGAAAGCGGAAUUCCAAGUGUAGCGGUGAAAUGCGUAGAGAUUUGGAGGAACACCAGUGGCGAAGGCGGCUUUCUGGUCUGUAACUGACGCUGAGGCGCGAAAGCGUGGGGAGCAAACAGGAUUAGAUACCCUGGUAGUCCACGCCGUAAACGAUGAGUGCUAAGUGUUAGGGGGUUUCCGCCCCUUAGUGCUGCAGCUAACGCAUUAAGCACUCCGCCUGGGGAG
rnacentral:rRNA from 1 species